UAUUGAUUUAUCUGGUUGUGUGUGAGUUUGGGUAAAAGAUGGACACAACAGAUAAAGAGGAGGAGUAAAUGAUAUGAUGAGCUCGUCUUGAUGAUGUUCAUCGUUCACUCAGUAUCUGCUGGUGCACUUUCAAAAGCUUCCUACAUCAUACAGUCACCAUGAAUCUCUCCCUGCAGUUAUGUUUCUUGAUGAUUUUUCUAAUCUUCACAGUGCACAGUGAUGCGCAGCUGGAACAGAAGGUCUCAGUGACAAAGUCCCCUGAGAAGCUCGCCAAGAUAGAAUGUAGUUUCUCUUCAGAAUGUAGCUAUUACAUUCACUGGUAUCAGAAAAAAGACGGUGAACCUUUCAAGAGAAUUCAGUAUGUAGAAAUCAGUAAUGAAGUUUACAAGAAUGACCAUGGCUUUGAGUUCUUACAAUCAGAGAAGACAGCAAACACAUUUGCUCUGAUAAUCCACAAUGUGAAGACAGAACACUUAGCAACAUAUUACUGUGCGUGCUGGGUGAGGGGCGGCACAGUGAGAUUAAAACUACGAGUCCUGUACAACAACCCACAAUCAAAAUCCACAGCUUCCACGAAACUGCAUACAAACAUCAUACAUUAUUUACUACACUCUGUCUAAUAGCAAAUAAAGAGACCUCAAUUUCCCUGUUAUUUUUAGAAUAUAUAUAAUUUUGAAACCAGAAUUAAAGCAAAGGUCAAAGGGCUGCAACAAAGGUCAAAAGUAUGACUGUAUUGAAAUAUUUAAUGACACAUACUGUAUUUACCAACACCAAAUUAGCUGACUACAAGAAGUGCUUUUGAACUGAUAUGUCAACCAUAUUCAGAUCACAAGAGCCCCCUCAUAA